GACAAUGGGGGCAACCCUGAUCCAGCCAUGCCGCGUGCAGGAAGACUGCCCUAUGGGUUGUAAACUGCUUUUGUACGGGAAGAAACCCCGCCACGUGUGGCGGUCUGACGGUACCGUACGAAUAAGGAUCGGCUAACUCCGUGCCAGCAGCCGCGGUAAUACGGAGGGUGCGAGCGUUAUCCGGAAUCAUUGGGUUUAAAGGGUCCGUAGGCGGACAUGUAAGUCAGUGGUGAAAGUCUGUCGCUCAACGAUAGAAUUGCCAUUGAUACUGUAUGUCUUGGGUCGUUAUGAAGUGGUUGGAAUGAGUAGUGUAGCGGUGAAAUGCAUAGAUAUUACUCAGAACACCGAUUGCGAAGGCAGAUCACUAAUAACGUACUGACGCUGAUGGACGAAAGCGUAGGUAGCGAACAGGAUUAGAUACCCUGGUAGUCUACGCCGUAAACGAUGGUCACUAGCUGUCCGACCCAAUUGCGGGUUGGGUGGUUAAGCGAAAGUGAUAAGUGACCCACCUGGGGAGUACGUUCGCAAGAAUGAAACUCAAAGGAAUUGACGGGGGCCCGCACAAGCGGUGGAGCAUGUGGUUUAAUUCGAUGAUACGCGAGGAACCUUACC
rnacentral:rRNA from 1 species